AAGACCUUACUCUUAGGGAUCAUUUCUAUAGUAAGUGUCGCCAGGACGUCAGGUUAAACUGACGAGACCCAAAACCACGAGGACGAGAGAUAGCGCGAAGCGGGCACGAGCUGUUACCUUCAUGGUAACUUGGCGAGUGUCGUUGAUGAAAGUUCCUCUCCUCCCUAAGUGGGUAGUUCGAGGAAAAUGGUGCAUUCUGAGUGGC